CCUACGGGAGGCAGCAGUGGGGAAUAUUGGGCAAUGGGCGCAAGCCUGACCCAGCAACGCCGCGUGCAGGAUGAAGGUUUUCGGAUUGUAAACUUCUGUCGCGAGGGACGAAGAAUGCCGGUACCUCGUAAGAAAGCCCCGGCUAACUACGUGCCAGCAGCCGCGGUAAUACGGAGGGGGCACGCGUUUUCCGGAAUGGCGGGGCGUAAAGGGAGUGUAGGCGGCCUUGUAAGUUAGAUGUGAAAUCCUACGGCUUAACCGUAGAACUGCAGCUAAAACUGUGGGGCUGGAGUGCAGGAGAGGUAAGUGGAAUUCGUCGUGUAGCGGUGGAAUGCGUAGAUAUGAGGAAGAACCCCAGAGGCGAAGGCGGCUCGCUGGACUGUAACUGACGCUGAGGCUCGAAAGCGUGGGGAGCGAACAGGAUUAGAUACCCCUGUAGUC
rnacentral:rRNA from 1 species